rnacentral:lncRNA from 1 species
AUGAGUGCAGAGGAACAGAUGACAGCACUGCGGAACGCAGUCACCGAGCUCUCCGCUGCAGUCGUUGCAUCUCAGAAGAAGAGUGACGAAGCGGAAAAGCGCUGCCAGGAUCUGCAAACCAGGUGGGAGCGUGCAUGCAGAGAGGGGUUCCCAGGGUCCAGAUCAGAGGGAAUUGGACUUGGAAGGCGGGGGGGCAGUUUAGUUGCCCACUUCGAUGGGAACCUGAAGCACUACCCAAGUUUCAGAGCAGACGUCUUAUAUGCACUGCAUUUGCUUCGUAAUGACUUUAAAGAUGAAGAGGAGAAAGUGGGAUUUAUUGUGUCUCAUUUGCAUGGGGACGCUAGAGCGUGGCUGCGCAAUUUGUGGCGCGAAGAUGGCCCUGCCCGCCGCGAUUCUGACGAAUUUAUUAAAGCUAUGGACGCUUGCUUCCAGUCCACCGUGGAUGUUGAUGUUGCGCGCAAAGAAAUGCACGGACUCCGGCAAGGCAAAGCCACUGUGCGUCAGUAUCAUUCACGCUUUUUUGCAUUGCUGACUGUAUUGGGCUGGGAAAAGGACUCCAAACCAGUGAGAGAUUUGUUCUGGGAGGGUCUCAGCGGCCCCAUAAAAGAUGAAUUAGCCAGGGGUGACAGACCUCAGACCCUAGCAGACGUAGUACAGAGGGCUCUUGCGAUUGGAGUGAGACACGAAGAACGUCCUUGGCACAGUGAGGAAGGUCGCCAGGUGCGUGCGCCAGCGAGGGCACCUCCUUUUAUCCCCAGGGAGUUCGGCCAGGCACUUCCCUCGCCUCUGGUGCGGCAGGGGGAGGAACCGAUGGAGAUUGGCGGCGCUAAGGCUCAGACAGCAGCCAGAGCCCCAACGUCCGGUGCAGUAAAGGCGAAGCCUCCUAGAGGGAACAGGAAAUGUUACAUCUGUGAGAGUCCACAGCACAUGGCUAAAGAGUGUCCCCAGAGGCUCCAGAAGCACACUGCAGCGUUAGCAACAGUGGCAGCAGACGUGCUGCACGAAGAGCAGCCUCAGGGAAACGACGAUGCCUGGCUGGAGACAGCGAUGCUGGGGCUCAGCCAGGCGAGUCUGUAG